GACAGACACAUACGCUUAUAUAUGUGAACUCAACAAAGAUCGAGAGUGAGCCUGAAAUCAGGCUGAAGAUCAGCCAUUGCCACAUGGAAGACUCUUGUAACAUCACCUGGAAGCUACCAACCCUCUCAUUUUACAGAGGAGAGUGAGGCCCAGGAAGGAUCUCUGACUCCCCGGAGAUCCCACAGCCAGUCAAGCUCAGCUAAGCUCAAGAAGAGGAGGAGAUCAGAUCCUGGACAAUCUUUUUCUGUAAUUUGCAAGCCCCAUUCUCAAGAUCAAGGUAAUUCAAUAACAAGAUGAAGAAACAGAGGAAUGAAAAGCUGGGAAGUGAAGAAGUCAGAAUUCACACCUAGGCAGCUUGACUCUGAGCCUAUCCUCUUCGCCACCUUGCACAGCUGUCCCUGCGCAAAGAUCCAUUACAAGGGUUAGAAAUGUCACAGAUGAUUGCCUGAAGUUUCAUGGCGUCCCCGAGGCCUCGCCUAGCAACCUGAACACCCAUUAGAAACUUACAAGGAGCCUCUAAAGCACAUGGAGACACAGAGGAAAUAAUAUAAUGGGUUAACAUUUGGGGGAUCUAAUGAAGGGUGAAUGUGGAAGUCUCUGCACUCUUCUUGCUUGU